rnacentral:tRNA from 1 species
GCCUGGCUGGCUCAGUUGGUAGAGCGUAUGACUCUUGAUCCUCAGGAUUGUGAGUUCAAGUUCCACAUUGGGCG